rnacentral:rRNA from 1 species
UACGUAGGUGGCAAGCGUUGUCCGGAUUUAUUGGGUUUAAAGGGUGCGUAGGCGGUCCCAUAAGUCAGUGGUGAAAUACUCUAGCUCAACUAGAGGGGUGCCAUUGAUACUGCGGGACUGAGUGAAGUCGAAGUAGGCGGAAUUGACGGUGUAGCGGUGAAAUGCUUAGAUAUCGUCAAGAACACCGAUAGUGAAGACAGCUUACUAGACUUAUACUGACGCUGAGGCACGAAAGUGUGGGGAUCAAACAGG